GCCUGGGUGGCUCAGCGGUUGAGCAUCUGCCUUCAGCUCAGGGCAUGAUCCCAGGGUCCUGGGAUCGAGUCCCACAUCAGGCU
rnacentral:tRNA from 1 species